AUUGAACGCUGGCGGCAUGCUUUACACAUGCAAGUCGAACGGUAAUAGGCCGCGAGGUGCUGACGAGUGGCGAACGGGUGAGUAAUGCAUCGGAACGUGCCCAGUCGUGGGGGAUAACUACUCGAAAGAGUAGCUAAUACCUCAUACGAUCUAUGGAUGAAAGCGGGGGACCGUAAGGCCUCGCGCGAUUUGAGCGGCCGAUGUCAGAUUAGGUAGUUGGUGGGGUAAAGGCUCACCAAGCCAACGAUCCGUAGCUGGUCUGAGAGGACGACCAGCCACACUGGGACUGAGACACGGCCCAGACUCCUACGGGAGGCAGCAGUGGGGAAUUUUGGACAAUGGGCGCAAGCCUGAUCCAGCAAUGCCGCGUGCAGGAAGAAGGCCUUCGGGUUGUAAACUGCUUUUGUACGGAACGAAACGGCUCUGGUUAAUACCCGGGGCUAAUGACGGUACCGUAAGAAUAAGCACCGGCUAACUACGUG
rnacentral:rRNA from 1 species